rnacentral:rRNA from 1 species
AGUUUGAUCCUGGCUCAGAUUGAACGCUGGCGGCAUGCUUUACACAUGCAAGUCGAACGGCAGCGGGGGCUUCGGCCUGCCGGCGAGUGGCGAACGGGUGAGUAAUACAUCGGAACGUGUCCUUAAGUGGGGAAUAACGCAUCGAAAGAUGUGCUAAUACCGCAUAUCUCUCAGGAGGAAAGCAGGGGAUCGAAAGACCUUGCGCUAAAGGAGCGGCUGAUGUCUGAUUAGCUAGUUGGUGGGGUAAAGGCUUACCAAGGCAACGAUCAGUAGCUGGUCUGAGAGGACGACCAGCCACACUGGGACUGAGACACGGCCCAGACUCCUACGGGAGGCAGCAGUGGGGAAUUUUGGACAAUGGGCGAAAGCCUGAUCCAGCCAUGCCGCGUGAGUGAAGAAGGCCUUCGGGUUGUAAAGCUCUUUUAGUCGGAAAGAAAGAGUCAUAGUAAAUAGCUAUGAUUUAUGACGGUACCGACAGAAAAAGCACCGGCUAACUACGUGCCAGCAGCCGCGGUAAUACGUAGGGUGCGAGCGUUAAUCGGAAUUACUGGGCGUAAAGGGUGCGCAGGCGGCCUUGUAAGUCAGAUGUGAAAGCCCCGGGCUUAACCUGGGAAUUGCGUUUGAAACUACAAAGCUAGAGUGCAGCAGAGGGGAGUGGAAUUCCAUGUGUAGCAGUGAAAUGCGUAGAGAUGUGGAAGAACACCGAUGGCGAAGGCAGCUCCCUGGGUUGACACUGACGCUCAUGCAC